AAACAAAAGCCCCACACAAUGCACGAGCGGAUCCCUCCAUCAAAACCACCCAGCGCUUCAAAAGGUUACGAGCCAAAACCGCUUUGCCGAUUUUCAAAAUUCUUUUUUCCACUUCGUCCUGGAUCCUCAAACUACUGCGUAGGGGGUUUCUUUUUUUCGUUUUUCCUCCCUUUUUAUAGAUAUUUGUACCUUUUCUCCCGGGUUCGUUCCAAAAUCGCUCCAAAACCUCUCCAUCACGAUUAGUGCUCUCCGAGCUCUUUGUCCCAUUGUCCCGUUUCUAAAGGUUCUUUCUCUCUCUUUUCUCUUGGUCUCUACAAAAGAUUUCAAAACUUCUUCCUCCAGCAAUCGUUCCAUUUCAAAGGAGGCUUUUCAAAUGUGCUCAUAAUUUUUUGGUGAUUUGGAAUUGGAUGAUAAUAAAUCUACGUGCACUGCUGGUUGGCAUUCCUUUUCGAACUCGAAGCGGUUGUCGACGGUCGUGUUCUACAGUGCUACAGUGCUACAGUGCUACAGCUGCAGCUACGUACGUACGGUACACCCGCUGCUGCCCGUUUUUUGGUUUUGCGAUUGCUGCUGGCUGAUCCCCUUCUUCACUGGCAUCAGAAUCGAUGGCAUGUGAAUACAGAUAAACGAUCGGAUUCGCUGACUUUUUGGUACAACAAAUCAAAUAGCGUUUCAAGCAAUGAUUACGACGCAGACGUGAUUCUCGGACCUUCGAAACGAAAUUCGUGGCAUUUAUGUUGUCGUUAAAUCGAACAAAGAAACAUGAAAAAACUUGACUGUGGAGAAACGGACUAAAGUUAUUUAGAUUAGCUGUUGUCCGUAAAUUGUAUUUUGUUAAUUUGUUGUUAGAGUAAGAUUCCUUUCUGAUGCACGAAACUUGGCUGUUUUUUAUCUUUCUAUUUCUUAACUGCUUUGUUCCUGCAGUGUUUCAAAAGCUAAUUGUGACGGAGAUUUGAUAUGUGGACCUCAAAUGUAUAGAACUGCGUAAUAACUCUAUAACUCUUUGGAGUUUAGAAGAGGAGUCGUUAAUUCUUUUAUGAAUCGACAUUUUUUAAGGAAUUUUGAUGCUUAAGAAAUUUUUAGAUGAUAUAUAUCUAAACGAGCACCAUGGACCAAUAACGGCUAACAGGAAUUUAUUGUUGGAAAACGUUAAUGUUUGAUUCAAAAUAAACAGAGGAACUUUAAAGGUGGCCCCAAAUUAUAUCUUAAAACAGCAUCACAAAUGAACAAGAAUUGAACGAAAUGCUAUGUUAAAGAUAUUCACGCUGGAUUCAAAAUGAACAUUACAGCAUUAAGAAUGGCCUUAGAAAAUAUUUAUAAGCGCCCUAUAAGUCGACGAGGGCUAAGAGUGUAUGAUUGGACAACUUAAAAAUUUGAUUCUGACUAAAUAGGAGAAAUUAUAGGAUUAACUCGUGAAAAUGAUGGGGGCUGGCAGAAGUAUGUAGCUGUCAAGUUUAAAGUAGAAUUCAGAAUAUUUAACAAAGCUUUUAGAUAAGCCUGCAAGAUAUUUAAACGAGCACCACGAUUCACCGAGAGAUAAAAGAAAAUGGAAGUUUCAAAACAUUGCAAUUAGAAUAAGCAGGAGAAAUAAAGAGGGUAACCCGUGAAAGUAUUUAAGCAAGGACCCCAAAUAGAUCGUGGCUUACAAAAUGUAUUGAAGCAACUUUCUGUAUUGCCUUGAUAUUGCAACCGUUUAUGUAUCAAAUUGAUAUGCACAUUUUAAUAAACGGAAGAGUAGCUCCCAGUAAAUCCCGCUCUUUGGGCACCCUAUGGCCCCAAAAUGGGAUAGUAAGAUUAGCUUCUGAAUAAGUCAAGAGUGCUAUUAACCUUGAUUUCAAAGGGCUUCAGAUGGUGAUGAAAGCCAUGAUAUUGCUAAUUGGUAAUCAUAAUAAUCAAGGAACUACUUAUUGGAUUGAUUCUAUUAGGAAUUUCGCAAGUAUGGGUAUCUGGAGCCAGCAAGUAAUUAAGUUUGGGUUUACUUUUCUAAAAGGAUUUACUGAAUUACAAUCAAGGUAAUAAAGCAUUAUCUUCCUACACGAAAAUAGCUCUUAUCUCAAUAGGGUUGUUGCUGCAAGUAAAUAAUACUUUGUCCUCGAGCAAUUAUUUCCUGCUCUUGCCAAUAGUAUAUGAUACUCACAGUAGGCGUGACUAUGGAUUGGAUUAAUUAUGUUUGUCUUUUGUCAUGCUUAGAAUGUGCUUGCCUGCUUGCCGUAUGAUAUUACACUUUUUGCUUGCAUUCCUUAUUAAAUUGAAAGAAUGUAAGAGGGCAUUGUUUUUUUACUUUGAUUUUCAGGAUAGAUUCAAUUUUAAUUUUAUUUGUCAGAGGAGUAAACAAAUAAGUAAAGUUGGGAAGUCUUACCAUGAAAUUCUAUGGAAAAUUAAAACAGGAGACUUAGGGGGUAACCCAUUAAAAUAUCUAAACGAGGAACACGAAUAGACCUGGGCUUCCAAAUGUUUUGAAGCAACUUUCAAUUAACGGAAGACUAGCUCCCCUACGAAGCCCGCUACGCGGGCUUGCCAGUGACCCUACGGUAGAGUACAUAGAUUAGCCUCGGAAAAGACAAGAAUUUUCUUAAAACCCCCUGUGAAUGAUAGUAAAAUUAGCCUCGGUAAAGACAAGAAUUCUUUCGAAGCCCCUAAUGAGUAUGCAGAUUAGCCUCGGAAAAGACAAGAGGUGUAUCAAACUCGAUUUGAAAAAAAUUGGCUCCGCACAGGUCACGUGAUAAAAAAAUUACUCGCACUCCUGUGACUAUCGCUAGGAAGGGGGGAGCCUCUACCCCUUCUCUAUUUCAGGCGACCCCCUGACUAGCGAUAGUCACAGGAGUGCGAGUAAUUUUUUUAUCACGUGACCUGUGCGGAGCCAAUUUUUUUCAAAUCGAGUUUGAUACACCUCUUGUCUUUUCCGAGGCUAAUCUGCAUACUCAUUAGGGGCUUCGAAAGAAUUCUUGUCUUUACCGAGGCUAAUUUUACUAUCAUUCACAGGGGGUUUUAAGAAAAUUCUUGUCUUUUCCGAGGCUAAUCUAUGUACUCUACCGUAGGGUCACUGGCAAGCCCGCGUAGCGGGCUUCGUAGGGGAGCUAGUUUGUUCUUCUAUUUCGUGUCCAAAACUUUCCUUAGUAUUCUUGAUGUUCCCAGAAGGCAGGUCCUUUGCACUACUUCAAUCCAAACUUUGCACUUUAGUUGCUCUAGGUAAUUUUUGAAUCUUUUGGUCACUGAGCCUAACGCUCCGAUGAUAACUGGAAUGAUGAGAACUUUAUUGACUUCACCUUUAUAGACUUUGAAUAUCUCGUACUUCAGAUCGCAGUAAGCACUUUCUUUUCCAUUUCUUUUUUCUCAAUUCUGGUAUCGAAGGGACAUGCCACGUCUAUUAUAUAACAUGUUUUUGACUUUUUUUCAAUGACAACUAUAUCUGGCCUGUUAUGUUCGAUUUUAGACUCAGUUUGAAUGGAGAAGUCCCAUAGAAGUCUAAUUGCUUCAUUUUCUAGUACAGCAAUUGUGUUAUCUACAAAGUGAUCGUUGUUCUUUGAUCCGCAAGGAAAUCCAAACUUGUGGCACAGAUGCCAAUGUAUCACAGCAGCCACUUUAUCAUGAAGCCAUUUCUUGUACUCAUUUUGUGCCAGUUUUUUACACUCCGAGACAAUGUGGCUUAUAGUCUCAUCCCGCUCCCCGCACAUUCGAUACAUUGCGGAUCCUUGCCUUUUAUCUAUCAUAACCGAUAUCCAGUUUGUUCUAAGUGCAAUGGUUUUUCGCUAAACCUUUCUUUUCUGUUUUCAAUGAUCAUUCUCUUCUUUUCCCCUGGGCUUUGUCUCUCUUUGAUGAUAUUGUCUUUGCGCACUUCUUUCAGUAGUUGUUCUUGCUUAGUAUUUAUAUAAUAUCCAAGGCUAUUCUCUUCUAUAGUGAUACAAUCCUCUAUACUA